CAAACACACACACACACACACACGCACACAGACACACACACACACCUGAUCAAGUGCCGUGGGAUAAGUCAAGUACCACUUACGUCGUUGGACCGCUACAUGAAGUUAUGCUUUCGCCCUUCGCUAGUGUCCUGGCACUGUGCUGGCGUUGUGUGACCCGCCGAGUGUCUGUCACACGGCCCUUGUUCUUGCUGGUCCUCCUAUCAAAUAUCUGUCUAAGCGAGAAAAUACAUCUGCCAAUACAGUCUUGUUGACAUGGAUUGUUUGUGUCCUCUUCAGGGAUGUAGUUUCGUGACGUCAAUUAAAAGGAUGUUUAUGGGGAUUGAUCUUCUUUUCUCUUCGGAUUACUGUUCUCAUCAAGGUCUGACAAUCGUAAUGGAUAUAUUAAUUAAUGGAUUAACCAAGCUCUGAAUUAAAGCAAAAAACAAAAAAAAAAAGGAAA